rnacentral:lncRNA from 1 species
GAGUUGAGCCCUGGCCUGCUCUGAGAUAUCAGGAGUCUACGAUCGAAGGUGGCCCAGCUCCCCAGGUGCAAAAAGACCGGUUCCCUGAAGGGACAUAGAGAAACUCAGCACGCCACCCGGCAGGCUUGUUGGGACGGGAAAGAGCCGGGACGAGAACACCAGAGCUGCGCGCUGGAUAAAGGCGGCCACUCACCCAGCAACAGCAGCUUGAGCUCCCGGCGCGCGUCCUUCUUGUCGCGGCGAAGCUGCCGCUCGAUCUCCGCGCUGAUGCGCUGAGACUCUUUCUCCUCCGCAGACAAACAGCAGCAGCCGGCCAUGGCUUGCCACCUCGACGGAGCGACAGGGACCUGGAGCUUAACGCCCGGCCGCGCGGAUUAUCCGCGCCAGACGCAAGGUUUGAAGAGGAAACCACCUGAACCAACUAUGGUAUGGAGAAAGAGGCUCGGAUCUCCUAGGCUAACGCUUUCUCGAAGGCAGUUCCGAGGUCAGGCGAGUCCUGAGCGCUUGUGUGGUCCGGGAUCAGGCACCCAACCCCGCGCUUGGGAGGGAGAGAAGAGCGAACUGGGCAGUGUGAUUGGCGCUGUCUCCAGAAGAUGUGCGUCCCCGGACACUGUAGCUGGGUACCCAGGUAGGCAACGCACACCGCGAAUCAAAAGUUGGGGCGUCGGUGCUGCUGCUAGAAUGGUCUCUCCGGGACUGUAGGGUGUCGCAGGCUAGCAGCAGGUGUGGCCUGGCUUGCAAAUAAAGGGCCAGCUAGUCCCUGUUUGCAAAGUUCCGAAAACCUCAACCCGUAGACUUUUGCGGAAUGGAAGGUUCCUCCAGCACUGACCGCUCUAUGUGACAGGAGGGGGCGGAGCGUCUCGAACCUGCAGCCAAGGCUGCAGGAGUUGCCUGAAGUCCUACCCCAAGCCGACGGUGCCUGGGGACAAAGGAUAGCAACAAGAGGCUGGGUCGCAGAGUAGUCUCACACCUGCCUCCUUGGCGGUGGCGCCCUAGUGCAGGCAGGGCCACUUGCCAAGCUUGCUGUAACCAGCAGACACUGGCUGCCAGCCCCCUUCCCGCUGCCAGAUCCGGGUUCCGACAGGUGAGGGAGUUUCGUCAACUCCCAGCCUCAGUGCCAGGGGUGGAGGCAGCGCACUAGCAGACCCGAGCCAAACGUCUGCAGCCCGUUCACACACCGCAUGCCAGCAGCUAGGCUCAGGCCUCUUUUCCCACCUGAGGCUGAGCUUUGCCCACCAGCUUCUCCACCGCUCACACUUGGGGUUUCUAGACUGGCUCCCUCUGCUUCCCGGAUGCCACAACUCAAUUUGGGCUUAGUGCAAGCCUUGGGUCAGCUUGUAGUUUGCCUGCCUAGUGCAGAUGGGCCUGCUGGCUGGCGUAGGAACUGCAGCUGCCUUCCGGGGUCUGGCAAAAGAGCAAAGGGCUAGUUAACGCCUCCCAGCCGGUCCUACCUCCUGGCACCGGAUGAGGGGGCCAGGGACUGGAGGGGUGAAGGAAAACGGCUGGCUGCUUUGCAUUUGAUGAUGGAAAAGACUUCUGUUUGUAGAAAGAGUUGGCACCUUCCCGGCACACCUGGCCAGUUCCCUGCCCAGCCCUGCAGCCAGACUGCCGCCUCGGGACAGCUCCUGGAACUCUGCGUGUGGAUGUAGGAAAUCUGAAAGAACCCCUGACAACUCAAAUGCACAAAGUUUGCACAAAGCAAACUACUCUGAUUUUGUCUGUGCAGAUUUAAAGGUGCGGAUAAGGGAUCCUCGGGACCAGAGCAAAUCUUCUUUGCCUUCUAUUCAAGUUGGCAUAUGACAUGUGCACGGUUACGGAAUCAGACGCUAAUUCUUCCUCCGUGAAGAGCAAUGGAAGCAGAAGUGGGGCGCUGUGGUCAUUAUAUAAGAACUUGGCAGCUAAUGUUAUCUGGCUGCUAAGUCUUAUUUACUUUACAGUUUAAGAAGUGCGGACCAAUCAGGCUUUAAAAUGCCCUGUAUUUUAGUAUCCUUCCAAGCAUAAUUGACGACAACAGUGUCCCCUACUGGAAAGUUUCUGGAUUUUUUUUCUCUCUGUAAUCUGUCACCCACUUUUCCCUUUAGCUCCUACAGGUGUUGAGAACACCACCAUUGGCUCCUCAAACUAACAUCUCAAUCACGGCUUUUAGUCUUCCACAGAUAUUAAAACCAGAGCAAAUCUGAAUUCCAAGUUAACUGGAAUAACUGACCUGUUCAGUCUCCAGUUACUAGCCUUCCAAAACAGAUCCUGACAGAUCGUCCCUGGCGAACUUGGCGGUACCUACCGGAACCCUUGGUACCUACCGGAACCCUUCAGUGUUCCCAUUCAUUUGAUCAAACCCGUAUUCCUUGUAUAGGACACGGUGCUGAAGAAGUCCCACAGGUUUAUAAGCAAAGAUCUCUAUCUUCAGCUAACAAUACAAACUCAAUGAGUAAAAUGUCAACAGCAGGAAAUAAGCCAAAUUAACUAUGUUUGGUCCACAUAGGACAAUAUUAUGUAUCCAUUAAGGUGAUCUAUGAGUAACAUUAUGUCCCAAUGAAUAACACCUUAGGAUGUUUGGGUGAAUGACAGCCUGCAUACAGCAUCGUGGUGUCACCAUCUACCUCAGGGCUGGGGAUGUAGCUCAGUGAUAAAGCCCUCUGUGCAUUUAACAUCCAGCACUGGAAAAAAAAUCAUACCUUCCAAUGAUAGCAUAACCAUUCUAGCUUGUAUAAGAACACUUGGAAGCAUCCAUAUGCCAUUGUAGCUGAGUAGCCACGAACUCAGUACACUGCAUUCCCACCGUUCACUCAUGACGACAGAAGAACAACAAACUGGGGAGAAUCUUCAAAACACAUCCGGCAGAAAAGACAAGGCACAAACAUAUAAGCAGUACAACGGAAAUGGUAUGGGGAGAAUACACACCUGCAUUUUUAAGAGCAUAGAGUACUUAUAUCAGGAAGGUUAGCUGCUCUGAGUCAAAACUGGCUGGCUGAUUUUAAAUUAUCUGAUAGAGGUACCCGAAGCCCCUCCCGUCAUGUUUAGAUUGCACUUUCCUUAACCGUGAGCAGAGCAAUGGACUAGAAUCCAUUCAGGGGACUCACCCAACUCUAACAUUUAAUCAUUUCUUCAAUGAUUUUUCAC